UGAGCAACCUGCCCUUCUCAUCGGAAUAAGCGUUGGAAACGACGUCUAAUGCCGAAUACGACCUCCUUUCGCAUGAUCGGAGGUGGAAAGCUCCGGCAGAGAAGGAUGAGCUCGCGGCCUAUCAGCUAGUUGGUGUGGGUAAUGGCCCACCAAGGCGACGACAGGUAGCCGGCCUGAGAGGGUGACCGGCCACACUGGGACUGAGACACGGCCCAGACUCCGUAGGGAGG
rnacentral:rRNA from 1 species